GUAGGUGGCAAGCGUUAUCCGGAAUUACUGGGCGUAAAGGGCGUGUAGGCGGGAAGACAAGUCAGGAGUGAAAUCCCAGGGCUUAACCCUGGAGCUGCUUCUGAAACUGUUUUUCUUGAGUAUCGGAGAGGAAAGUGGAAUUCCCAGUGUAGCGGUGAAAUGCGUAGAGAUUGGGAGGAACACCAGUGGCGAAGGCGGCUUUCUGGACGAUUACUGACGCUGAGGCGCGAAAGCGUGGGGAGCAAACAGGAUUAGAUACCCUGGUAGUCCACGCUGUAAACGAUGGAUACUAGGUGUGGGGGGUAUCGACCCCUCCCGUGCCGCAGUUAACACAAUAAGUAUCCCGCCUGGGGAGUACGGCCGCAAGGUUG
rnacentral:rRNA from 1 species